rnacentral:rRNA from 1 species
CAGCAGCCGCGGGAAUACGAAGGGUGCAAGCGUUAAUCGGAAUUACUGGGCGUAAAGGGUGCGUAGGCGGUUGUUUAAGUCUGUUGUGAAAUCCCCGGGCUCAACCUGGGAAUGGCAAUGGAAACUGGACGGCUAGAGUGUGUCAGAGGAUGGUGGAAUUCCCGGUGUAGCGGUGAAAUGCGUAGAGAUCGGAAGGAACAUCUGUGGCGAAGGCGACUAUCUGGGCCAACACUGACACUGAGGCACGAAAGCGUGGGGAGCAAACAGGAUUAGAUACCCCCGUAGUCCCUGUCUCUUAUAC